GCUUACGGCCAUACCACCCUGAGCACGCCCGAUCUCGUCCGAUCUCGGAAGCUAAGCAGGGUCGGGCCUGGUUAGUACUUUGGAUGGGAGACCGCCUGGGAAUACCAGGUGCUGUAAGCU
rnacentral:rRNA from 1 species